CGUGCCGUCGCCGCGGUUGGGGGGUGGGGGGGCCGUACCAAGGGGGAAGCCUGGACCGCAGCGCCCGCUCGUAGCGCGCGGCGGCGGUGUGGACGCGCAGGCCGGGGAGAGAACCUAGUGCCGCCCUCGGGAGCAUGGCCCGGAACGCCACCCUUCCUGCCCGCAGCCCUGGGAGCCACUGAGAGCAUGAAAUCUUGGGAAGCAUUUAGUUCGGAGACUGGCUGGUUUUCUACAGUCUCAUUAGAAUCCGUUAUCGCGGACGAGAAAGUGCCAUAAAGAUUUGUGGACAUCAGAUUGCCACCUGCAAGCUGACUCCUUAGACAGCCCGUGCUUCUGCAUUCUUACCUGAAGAGCGAAUGCCCUUCUGGUGCCAUCUUCCUUCUUCAUAGACUCCAUGGAACUGCCAUCAUCUGACCCUUGCUGCCACCUGCUUGCAGAGCCUUGUGCCCCUCUUCACUCACCAGCAGGCUGUCUGCCAGCGGUGUUCCUGACUCAGGGUCUGACCCUAGGUCAGUUCUGCCAAGCUGAUUAGAGGAACUCUUGGACUCUAGCCUGCGUGCACAGACCCUCCAGGUCCGUACUGUCUUCAUCUCCCAACACCAUCCGAAAUUCCUCAGUGUACCCUUCUGGGUCAUCAUAAUGGCCAGUAUCCAUUCAACAGCUUAUUCUUUCUGGAACCAAAUAAAACCCUGGCAUUUGUCCUCCUA